GGGCGCAUGGCUCAGUUGGCUAGAGCAUCACGUUGACAUCGUGAAGGUCAGAGGUUCAAUUCCUCUUGCGCCCA
rnacentral:tRNA from 1 species